rnacentral:rRNA from 1 species
UACAGGGGGGGCAAGCGUUGUUCGGAAUUACUGGGCGUAAAGGGCUCGUAGGCGGCCAACUAAGUCACACGUGAAAUCCCCAGGCUUAACCUGGGAACUGCGUGUGAUACUGGAUGGCUUGAAUUCGGGAGAGGGAUGCAGAAUUCCAGGUGUAGCGGUGAAAUGCGUAGAUAUCCGGAGGAACACCGGUGGCGAAGGCGGCUUCCUGGACCGAUACUGACGCUGAGGCGCGAAAGCUAGGGGAGCAAACGGG